AGUGAACGCUGGCGGUAGGCCUAACACAUGCAAGUCGAACGGCAGCACAGUAAGAGCUUGCUCUUACGGGUGGCGAGUGGCGGAAGGGUGAGGAAUAUAUCGGAAUCUACUUUUUCGUGGGGGAUAACGUAGGGAAACUUACGCUAAUACAGCAUAUGACCUACGGGUGAAAGCAGGGGAUCUUUGGACCUUGCGCGGUUGAAUGAGCCGAUGUUGGAUUAGCUAGUUGGCGGGGUAAAGACCCACCAAGGCGCGGAUCCGUAGCUGGUCUGAGAGGAUGAUCAGCGACACUGGAACUGAGACACGCUCCUGACUCCUGCGGGAGGCAGCAGUGGGGUAUAUUGGACAAUAGUGGCAAGCCUUGUCCAACCAUACCACGUGUGUGAAGAAGGCCUUCCGUGUGUAAAGCCCUUUUGUUGGGAAAAAAAAGCAUCAGGUUAAGACCCCGCUGUUCUGACGGUACCCAAAGAAUAAGCACCGGCUAACUUCGUG
rnacentral:rRNA from 1 species